CAAUUGGAGAGUUUGAUCCUGGCUCAGAACGAACGCUGGCGGCGUGCCUAACACAUGCAAGUCGAGCGAGAAAGUCUCCGCAAGGGGGCAAGUAAAGCGGCGCACGGGUGCGUAACACGUGGGUAACCUGCCUGGAUGUCUGGAACAACCCUCAGAAAGGAAUGCUAAUACCAGAUAAGACCACGGGAACAUUGGUUCCUGAGGUAAAAAGACGGCCUCUGCAUGCAAGCCGUCACUUCCAGAGGGGCCCGCGGCCCAUCAGCUAGUUGGCGGGGUAACGGCCCACCAAGGCGACGACGGGUAGCUGGUCUGAGAGGACGAUCAGCCACACUGGAACUGAGACACGGUCCAGACUCCUACGGG
rnacentral:rRNA from 1 species